rnacentral:rRNA from 1 species
AUGGGGUUUAGGGACCUUCACAGUUUUAAUCUUGCUAUGUUAGCAAAGCAGUGUUGGCGACAACUCCAAAAUCCUGAUUCUCUAUGUGCACGUGUUCUGAGUGACAAGUAUUAUCCAAACGGAGACAUACUGAAGGUAGGGCCUAAAAAGGGCUCACCGUUCACAUGGCAAAGCAUUGUUGCAGCAAUACAGACCUUCAAGAGAGGGUGUAUUUGGCGGGUUGGAUCUGGUUCACACAUUAAUAUCUGGGAUGAUCCUUGGAUUCCCUCUAGUGAGUCAAGAAGAAUCAUCACACCCAAGGGAGGAACUAUGCUGACAAAGGUUCAAGAAUUAAUUAACCCGCACACGGGCCAGUGGUAUGUUGAGCUCCAUCAGGACAUUUUCUUACCUGUGGAUGUUACUAGAAUUGUACAAAUUCCUUUGCAUGUUGAAGCUAUAGAUGAUUUUGUUGCUUGGCAGUUUACCAGGUCUGGUACCUUUUCGGUGCGCUCAGCUUAUCACGUUGAGUUUGACCACCAGUUCGGUCGUCAAUAUGGACGAAUGGAUGCCCUAGGUGGUUCUCAGAUUAACCUAGUGUGGAAAGAACUAUGGCGUCUUCGCGUCCCCGAGAAAAUCAAGCACUUUGGAUGGAAGGUUCUGAAGGGGUGUUGCCAUGCUUCGGUGUUCUAG